AUUGAACGCUGGCGGCAUGCCUUACACAUGCAAGUCGAACGGCAGCGCGGGAGCAAUCCUGGCGGCGAGUGGCGAACGGGUGAGUAAUGCAUCGGAACGUGCCCAGUGGUGGGGGAUAGCCCGGCGAAAGCCGGAUUAAUACCGCAUACGACCCACGGGUGAAAGCGGGGGACCUUUUAGGCCUCGCGCCAUUGGAGCGGCCGAUGUCAGAUUAGGUAGUUGGUGGGGUAAAGGCCUACCAAGCCGACGAUCUGUAGCUGGUCUGAGAGGACGACCAGCCACACUGGGACUGAGACACGGCCCAGACUCCUACGGGAGGCAGCAGUGGGGAAUUUUGGACAAUGGGCGCAAGCCUGAUCCAGCCAUGCCGCGUGCGGGAAGAAGGCCUUCGGGUUGUAAACCGCUUUUGUCGGGGAAGAAAUCUUCUGGGCUAAUACCCGCAGGAGGAUGACGGUACCCGAAGAAUAAGCACCGGCUAACUACGUGCCAGCCGCCGCCGCUGUAA
rnacentral:rRNA from 1 species